AAUGACUCAUUGGAAACGGAUCACAGAGCAACUGUGUGGUUUCCUUUACUCACAGAACUACCUGUUAGAUCUGUGGGAAAAGAUUACACGACCGAG
ensembl:snoRNA